rnacentral:tRNA from 1 species
UCCCUGGUGGCUCAAAUGGUAAAGAAUUUGCCUGCAAUGCAAGAGACCCAGGUUCGAUUCCUGAGUCAGGAA